rnacentral:rRNA from 1 species
CCUACGGGAGGCUACAGUGAGGAAUAUUGGUCAAUGGGCGCGAGCCUGAACCAGCCAAGUAGCGUGAAGGAUGACUGCCCUACGGGUUGUAAACUUCUUUUAUACCGGAAUAAAGUGAGGCACGUGUGCCUUUUUGUAUGUACUUUAUGAAUAAGGAUCGGCUAACUCCGUGCCAGCAGCCGCGGUAAUACGGAGGAUCCGAGCGUUAUCCGGAUUUAUUGGGUUUAAAGGGAGCGUAGAUGGGUUGAUAAGUCAGUUGUGAAAGUUUGAGGCUCAACCGUAAAAUUGCAAUUGAUACUGGAAGUCUUGAGUACAGUUGAGGUAGGCGGAAUUCGUGGUGUAGCGGUGAAAUGCUUAGAUAUCACGAAGAACUCCGAUUGCGAAGGCAGCUUACUAAACUGCCACUGACAUUGAUGCUCGAAAGUGUGGGGAUCAAACAGGAUUAGAUACCCUAGUAGUC